rnacentral:lncRNA from 1 species
CUUGGGGCCAUGUUAGCCAUGCAUUCUAUAAUGCUGAACAUCUUUGCUUCCCUUAUAAGCAUGCGGACUGACUGCUCUUUGCAUCAUGGUUCUAGCAAGUAUUAUGUACCAAGUGUGAAAACAAGCAAAUUACAAUGCAAUGUCCUUUAACCCCCUCUAGCAAUCCUGAGAUGAGGAGGCUGAGGCCAAAGGAAAGACUAAGACCUGCCCAUGGACACAUGUUGGCAAAGACCAAGCAGGAACUCGAGCCAGUUUACCUGAAACCAAGGUCCAGGCAUUUGUGAAGAGUUGAUGGUCUUGCCUGGAAUGCCCAACCCCAUGUCCUGGACGUCUUUCGACUGGACUGCCCAGACCUCAGAGCAGGGUCUGUGUUGACUCACCUCAUGUCUCCAGCUCUCCCAGC